rnacentral:rRNA from 1 species
CCUACGGGAGGCAGCAGUGGGGAAUAUUGGACAAUGGGGGGAACCCUGAUCCAGCGACGCCGCGUGAGUGAAGAAGUCUUUCGGUAUGUAAAGCUCUAUCAGCAGGGAAGAAAAUGACGGUACCUGACUAAGAAUCCCCGGCUAACUACGUGCCAGCAGCCGCGGUAAUAAGUAGGGGGCAAGCGUUAUCCGGAUUUACUGGGUGGAAAGGGAGCGUAGACGGUGCAGCAAGUCUGAUGUGAAAGGUCGGGGCCCAACCCCGGGACUGCAUUGGAAACUGUUGAACUGGAGUACAGGAGAGGUAAGCGGAAUUCCUAGUGUAGCGGUGAAAUGCGUAGAUAUUAGGAGGAACACCAGUGGCGAAGGCGGCUUACUGGACUGUAACUGACGUUGAGGCUCGAAAGCGUGGGGAGCAAACAGGAUUAGAUACCCGUGUAGUC